AUAAUUUUAAAUAUUUGGGAAUUUAGUCAAAAUAUUUAAUUUGCUCCCUUUUUGUUGCCUUAGGAAAUUGAAGAAGUGAAGAACAGAUCAGGCACAAAAGGCUCUCCUACGGCGUGGGUGAACCGGAAGGAGAAGCCCUCGGAUGCUCAGAGAUUACGUAAUGGCAUUACAUGUCGUGGGGCGCUACAUGCAGGUUCUCCUCGUGCGUAGUCUCUACCUUUCCUCUGGGGUAUUGCUAUUCGACAUCAACAUCAAGUGGAGUGAGUUUUGGGAUGUGGUACAGUUGUUAUUUUGCAAUUAUACUUCGUGAAAAGAUCUGUUCAAGAUUUCCAUUUUCUAUAUUUUCUAGAUGUUUAUGAAAUUGUUUAAUGUAUGUUUUUGAAUUUUUUUUGUACAAAUUAGCUAAAUGAAGCAUCUAAAAUUUUUAGUAUUUCUUUACAAUAGUAUUUUUUUUUUUUUUUUUUGUAAUGAUGUAGUAAUAAUAAUAAUUUUUCUGAUUGGGUAAACUUUGAACAAAUUGUGUGCACUUCGUGCUGAAUUUUGUGAAGCAUUUUCAUUUUUGUAUAAAAUUCAUGUCAAAUUGUGCACUAUUAUUUAUCUUCAUUUUAACAUUAUCAUAAUGCUAUCAUUUUCUUUUGUCUUUCAAUAUGUGUCAAUAUAUUAAAA